rnacentral:rRNA from 1 species
UACGAACGCCGGCGGCGUGCCUAAUACAUGCAAGUCGAGCGGACCAAUAGAAGCUUGCUUCUACUGGUUAGCGGCGGACGGGUGAGUAACACGUGGGCAACCUGCCUGUAAGACUGGGAUAACUUCGGGAAACCGGAGCUAAUACCGGAUAAUUCAUCCCCUCGCAUGAGGGGGUGCUGAAAGUCGGUUCACGCUGACACUUACAGAUGGGCCUGCGGCGCAUUAGCUAGUUGGUGAGGUAAUGGCUCACCAAGGCGACGAUGCGUAGCCGACCGGAGAGGGUGAUCGGCCACACUGGGACUGAGACACGGCCCAGACUCCUACGGGAGGCAUCAGUAGGGAAUCUUCCACAAUGGACGAAAGUCUGAUGGAGCAACGCCGCGUGAGCGAUGAAGGCCUUCGGGUCGUAAAGCUCUGUUGUUAGGGAAGAACAAGUACCGGAGUAACUGCCGGUACCUUGACGGUACCUAACCAGAAAGCCACGGCUAACUACGUGCCAGCAGCCGCCGCCG